rnacentral:lncRNA from 1 species
UUUCUAUAAAUAUAUAGGCAAGGGUGAAAAAAAUUUCAAUAUUUAUUACGCUAAAGGAAGGUCUUGAACCCCCUGAAACAAUACUGAUGACAGCGCACUAAACCACUGAGCUAUCGAUAAUUUGCAUUUAGAAGAAAAAGAAGCGGAAAAGUUCUAACAAUUUAAAAUAUGGAAACAAAUCUAAGUUGUUUGGAAGAAAAUUGCUUGGAGAAAGCAGAUUUUAUUUAUCAGUCACGUUUAUAUAUUCUAUUAAGUUCAGGGAGAACGAUCGAAGGUUUUCCCAUCAAUAAAAGUCUGGUUAUACCAGUUACAAUGACUCAACUGAGUCAUUUUGGUUUAGACUGUUUACCUGAUUCCUACAACAAAAAAGAACUUCAAAAUGCUGUUAACAAUAAUCUAAAGCCCACACCUCAUCUAAAAGAAGGUGAAUGACGUCAAGUGUUCGAACAGUCGAUUCAAUUUGAUGAAGAAGUUUAAAAAAAUUAUAGUUUAUAAAACUUAGCUCAAUUAUACUAUUAAAAAGUUUACGCAUA